UACAGAGGUCCCAAGCGUUGUUCGGAUUCACUGGGCGUAAAGGGUGCGUAGGCGGUCGGGUAAGUCUGAUGUGAAAUCUCACAGCUUAACUGUGAAACUGCAUUGGAUACUAUCCGGCUCGAGGAAUGGAGGGGAGACUGGAAUACUUGGUGUAGCAGUGAAAUGCGUAGAUAUCAAGUGGAACACCAGUGGCGAAGGCGAGUCUCUGGACAUUUCCUGACGCUGAGGCACGAAAGCCAGGGGAGCGAACGAG
rnacentral:rRNA from 1 species